GGGCCUGUAGCUCAGUUGGCUAGAGCGCACGCUUCGCAUGCGUGAGGUCGCGAGUUCGACUCUCGCCAGGUCCACCA
rnacentral:tRNA from 1 species